rnacentral:lncRNA from 1 species
GCCCACCACCCGCUCCGGCCGGCUCUUAGCUGCAUGCUCGCGCCGCCCUCCUCUCCAUCAUCCAGUGCUCUCUCCUCUUGCGAUUCGCUCGCUCGAUCCUAGCUUCCCUUCCAAGAAGCGCAGCGCCCAUGGCCAUGGCCACGCAAGCCUCCGCCGCCACGCGCCACCUGCUGGCCGCCGCCUGGGCGCCGGCGGCGAAGCCGCGGCAGCUGAGCUCGCAGCUCGCGCUGCCGUCGUCGUCCUCCCGCGGGCCGGCCCCGCUCCGCGCGUCCACCGAGGAGGCGGUGGAGGCGCCCAAGGGGUUCGUGGCCCCGCAGCUGGACCCCAGCACGCCGUCCCCGAUCUUCGGCGGCAGCACGGGCGGGCUGCUCCGCAAGGCGCAGGUGGAGGAGUUCUACGUCAUCACGUGGACGUCCCCCAAGGAGCAGGUGUUCGAGAUGCCCACCGGCGGCGCCGCCAUCAUGCGGGAGGGCCCCAACCUCUUGAAGCUGGCGCGCAAGGAGCAGUGCCUGGCGCUCGGCACCAGGUUGCGCUCCAAGUACAAGAUCACCUACCAGUUCUACCGCGUCUUCCCCAACGGCGAGGUGCAGUACCUCCACCCCAAGGACGGCGUCUACCCGGAGAAGGUCAACCCCGGCAGGGAGGGCGUCGGCCAGAACUUCCGCAGCAUCGGCAAGAACGUCAACCCCAUCGACGUCAAGUUCACCGGCAAGGCCACCUUCGACUAAUCACACUUCACGUACGCCGCACGCCCCAGCCGGGAUCCAAAUUAAAGAACUUCUUCUUCUAUUAAUUACAGUAUAUUGUAAUUUGGCUGCUGGUACGGUGGUGGCAUGAUUUGAGAUGUGCAUGAUGAUCCUUGUGUAAUUUUAUUACCAAGUCUCUUCUUAUAUUUACAUGUUCAUUUGCUUGCUUCUUGCAUAACAUAACGCCUAUCGACAAUGACCAUCAUUAGUUUUAGUCCUACGUGUAUUUGAUUCAAUCUCUCCGUGUUUAUAGUAUAAAUUCAACCAAACUAAAG